GGAAGGAGCGGAACGGAGCCUUUGUGGCAGCGGGCGGUGCGGCUGCUCCGCUCAUUUCCCGGUGCCGGCUUUUUUUUCUUUUUUUCCCUCGUGCACUUUAUUAUUUUUAAAGGAAAAGGAGCUUAGGGAAAAAAAAAAGAAGGAAAAAAAAGAAGAAGAAGAAAGAAGGAAAACAAAAAGAAAAGAAACCUCGAUUUCUUUUUCUCUGCUUCCCCCGCUCCCCCUCCCCUCGAUGUGGCCUCUUGUUUGGCUCGUGGCGUGACCGUGAUGAAGAAAUGUUUCUGUGCGCCUGGCAGGGUGCUCCUUUUAUGUCAUGAGUCAGGAUUUUGCCAACGGAAGGAGCCCGCGCAGCGAGGACUGCGGGCCGCUGCUCUCCGGACCGGGAAGCUGCCAGGGGAUCCCCGCUCCGCCCCGGGGCGCCGCCGGGCACCGGCACGCGAGCUCUCCUCAUCCCUUAAAGAAGUUGUGGAGGAACGCAGUGCUGAGGGCUGUGCGAUGCAGAUACCCAGCGGAGCGCUCGACCUGCCGCUGUCAGCAGGGAACGGCCGCGCUCGGGUCGCGUGAAGCCCCUUCUGGAGGGCCGCAGCUGUAACCCAGCAGGAGUCAGGGCAGACACCUCCUGCAACGGUUCUGCUUUAGCCUGCGAUACAGAAGAACAGACACACAAGCUGAUCCUUUGGAAAGAUAAGAAUAGAUACUUUGGAUGCUGGGUCUGGUAAAUCUGCUGCUCUGGAAACUGUGGCUGUCCUGGCAGCAUCCCAUCCUUCUUUCACCAAGGGGGGCAAAAGGAGUGUCCAGGAUGCAUCUCUAAAGGUCUGCUUCCACUUCUCACCAAGGCAUGGUGCACUGCUGAAACUGAAGGAAAAUUUUUAAAGAUUUAGCCUGUAAUUUCUGAAACUGUUUAAAGUAACGUUGUAUGGAAACUGACUUUCUUAAUGCAAUUUGUCUACUUUUUCUCCAAACAUCACAGAAGAGAAUUAAAAUUUAAAUGCACUGAUAUGUUUUACAGAAGAUCAAACAUUACUGUUAUUUGAGUAGUUUCUAGGAGCAGUGAUGGAAACUGCUUUAUGUACUGCAAUGAUUUAUACUUUUUUGUUGUACAAUUUGUUUAAUUCCCACUGCAACUCAACAGGAUUACAAAGGCAUGUAUGAAUAAACAUGAAUUUGAGAUGUUGCAACUGAGUGCAGGAACAUAACGAUGGUAAUUUUUCCCUGAAGAAAUCAGAUCAGAAGCUUUAAAUGUACAUUUUCCUCAACAGAACAGUUGGAUGUUAUCAAAAUUACUACUGUGCCUACAUGUGUCCCUUGCAGCAUCAUUCCCUCAUCACUGAUUUGCCAGCACAGCACUACCCAGAAAGGAGUUUGCUGUUACCUGCCUAUGCAGUCCCCACAAAAGCUGCUGCUGAAAAUUCUCUCCGUACCUAUCAGAUGUUUCUGCACUGUGAAUGCUAAGGAAAUGCUAAGUAAUUUGACUGCAUGAUUUUUAAAGAAACCAACAGAAAAAUCAGAUUUACACAAUGAUUACAGUUCUGCUUGCUAAUAUUGAUCCUCCCUUUAAGGGAAAUUAAUGCAAAACAAGACUGGAGUUAUAAUGCACCAAUAAUGUUUUGCUUGUCUCAAAAAGUAAUGAUAGCUAGUGCUUUUGUAUCUUCUAUUUCCUUAUGAUCUAUUAAAUAUAAGUAGUUAAAACCCUAAAAUAAGAAUAAAGAGAGAUGACAGAGGUGGCAAGGCACCUAGAUGUGGAUCUAAAUAUAACCAAGGUUGUUUAUAUCAGUGAGCUCUGCCAAAGGAUAUGCGUUUAUGCAACUUUCUUGGUCGGGGAGUCAGUUUGCAAUGCUCCCAUGUGUUGUAUCCUUUAUUGCUCAUAUUUCAAAGGUAAUUUUUGCAAGAUUCUAAACAAAUAAAUAAAAAGCUAAAUUAUUAUCUCAGUUGUAGAAAUGGAGAAACUAUAAUAUUGAAGUUGACUGACUCUGUCAAGUAAAUGUUUAUUAUUAGAAAUAGGAUUCGAUUUCAUGUCAUCACUCCAAAUCUCACACUUCUUGCACUGGUGACCUACCAUAAAGAAAUACACGUUAAUGCAAUCAUUUUGAAGAGAUCGAUACCCAGGGAGGAGCUGUUUCCUGAAUUACCAGGUGAACGACUAAACAUUUCCUAAGGAUCACCCAAGACACUGAAGACAAAAUAUCUAUCGUUUUUUGUUACAGUUCAUAUUUCUGCUGCUUCUCAGACACGCUGUGAUUCAUCUCUGAGGAACACUUCACAUACUGUAGUUUAUUUUUCUAUCACGACACUCACAAUUUGCCAAAACUGCCAUUUCCCUUAUGCUGUUUGAGCAUUGCUAGCUCUGCAAUCAAAUGUAUACUGUCUGUUUCCAUCCCUGCUCUCUGUCUCAAUUAUUAUUUUUGUGAAGAUAAGAAAAUCCCAUUUUUACCAGUGGAGAGCCAGGCUGCUUAGGUCACAAGAUUCUCUUGGCUUAAUCCUUGAGUAUGAAUCACGAACUUUCCCUAAGAAGUACUGGCAUUCUUCAGAUGAUCAAGCCAGCUUACUAAGGCUUCCAGAGCUUUCCGCAUUAGCGAUCACCAUGUUUAAAGUAUCAAAAGCAGUAGCUGAUUAAGAAUUAAACUGUUUAUUCUUACUUUUCCCAUUUCCUCUGUUUCUAACUCUUAUGUGGCUUGGUACUGUAAACAGCUGUAAUGCAACUCAGUUAAAAGAAGUAAUAUGAAAAUAUGAAAGCUAUGAUGAAAGAGAUAUAUCAGACAAAAAUAUUUGUGUGAAAUACAAGAAACAGAGUUACAUUUUCUGCAGUACAUGGCUCAAAAAUAAUCUGCAUAUGUACACAUGGCUCCAGUUAACAAAAAGCAUUUUUCUCACAUUUAAUAUCAGAAAUGUUGGAGGUAGCCAAACAUCUAUUCUGCAGAUGAUUUACAACCCUUGCAGAAAAAAAAAACGUGCACUAUUGAGACAUCAUAGUAAAUGUCAUAUAAUUCAAUAAGCGUUAUGUGAAGAAAUAGAUAAAAUGAAGAUACACCCAAAAAAUAUUUCUUGAGAUAUGAAGGUGGAAACAGAAUAUUCAUUCCAGAUGCAGAACACAGAAAAUUGCUGAGAUAGGACUGGACUCUAGUAAGCAUGUAGCCCUGGAAACAUGAGGGUCCUGGGCAAUUCAGGACAGGUGUUAUAUUCCUGCACCACAUUCAAGUAUGAGAUCUGACAAAAGUAGACUGUUCACUUUGGCUACCAAUGAGAUUUUUCUAACUUUUACCAGGAAUAGUACUUCUUCAUAAAUGUGGAGUAAACUAUUUGAACAACAAUUCUUUCUUGUAUUAUUUCCAGAUUUGGUGAAAAACAUUAUAACAACUAAUGAAUACAUUAUACAGUCAUGCAAACUUCAAACUGAGUUUUUGUGCUAUUGCUGUGACAAGCAUUAAGAAAAGUUUAGUUUUCCAGAAGCCAUACUAGCCAGCUGUUAACUCUUGUCCUUUUCCUCAAUGACUCUGACUAUUUUUUGCCUUGUUCUUAGGGAAGUGCAUGGAUGUGGAAAAUGCCUGUUUAACAAUUCAGAUUAAAAAAGCAACCAAAUGCUAACACUUUGCGUUCACAAGACACAGCAGAAUGUCUCAGCCUAAUAAGCAUUGCCCUUAAGUUCGAUUUGCCAACUUCAAAAUAUGAAUUUAAGUAUUUCAUUUCAGCAGGAGGGCAAAAUUAAAUUCUAAGGCAAAAUGCUUAUGCACAGAAUAUAAGUUCAGCAGUGGUGAUAAUGGAAGUUAAACAUUUAAAACUUACCUCUUUAAAUUGUUUCCUUUCCACCUAUGCUGUUGAUGAUUUUCAUUUAGCUACCUUUUUCAUUAUUGGAUAAUGUAUACCUAUAACUAGAAUUCUUACCAAAUCUGCCUCCUUACAAAUUCAAAGAGCAACACAGUUAAUUCUCUGCUCAGGACAAAGAACGCAGCAUGUUAUUUUUAUGUAUCAUUAGGAAAAAAACGAUAGAGGAAAUGAACCAGGGGAACAGAAAAACAAAAUAAGAAGUGAAAUCCAAGUUUCUAAUGCAGAGAUGGAAUGCCAAUAAACUGUUCCAAAGAAACUGUUUAGCUGCAAGCUUUUCAACCUGUUGCCAAGAAAACACUGCUGUGUUCACUGAUCCUAUCAUUAAACCAGGUAUGUUCUGAAACAACUCUUUCUGAAUGGUGCCAUCUUCUGUGAAGUGGGAGGGAGCUUUGCUCCUAUAGAGCACUACUAGAAAGAUAGUUCUGCUCAAAAAAGCAGGUAUGGGGCAAGCUUGGUUAACUCAUGUACACACAUUCUUUAGAGAAAAAUAAAUUAACAGUUGAAAAGAAAAACCUUGUUGCCUACAGACUGUUGGCAGGAAGCACAGGACUAUAAUUUCCAUCUCCGAAAAUACCAAUUUCCAGGGCAAAAUGUCUUAAUGGCUGUUUUUUAAUACCCUAUAAUAUCAGGUUUGUACUCUCGCCGACUUGUUGUUUUCUUUACAAAAAUAAAAGACUAGUGUUUUGUAAUAUUUUUGUGCUAGGUUUUUAAAUAAUUAUCAUUACAGUUAUCCAUGCUACUCAAGAUAUUUGCCUGAGUAUAUAUAUCAGUAAAAGGGCAGAUCACAUCAACAAACUUCUUCCACAUCACACCUUGUUCAGCUCUCCACAACAGUGCUCUUCUAUCUUCUAGUAAGGCUUUAUUUUACUUUCUUUUCUGCCAAACUUUUACAUUUCAUGUCUGUAG
ensembl:lncRNA